rnacentral:tRNA from 2 species
GGGCUUGUAGCUCAGUGGAUAGAGCGUUUGCCUCCGGAGCAAAAGGCCGUGGGUUCGAAUCCCAUCAAGCCCACCA